GUUGUGUGCAGCAGCCCAUUUACCCCAUGGCGCUAUUGACUUAAAAUGAAACACACAUAUUUCAAAAUAAUAUGCUUCGUAUCCAAGGGACCUUCUUCUACAUGGUUGUUGACCACAAAUUUAUGUAGGAUAUCUUGCCCAUGAGACUCAUUAGUUGUGUUCGCUGCUUAAGGCAUUCCCUUUACUUGCUUCUCAGAACGAUGGUUGCAUUCUAGAAGCGGUAGUCCCCCGAAGUUACAUAAUAAAAAAGAAAAUGUCUAUC
rnacentral:lncRNA from 1 species